AGCUGAUCCCAACUAGAUUGGAAUUAAGGCUUUGUUGUUGUUGGAUUAGAUGUGUGUGGAAUUGAUUUCAUUUCCAAAUAAAUUCGAUUAAUAAAGUUCAUUUGAAAAUAAAAUUCUGAGGCUUGGUAUUCUAAUUGUUGAUUAUAGAAUUAUUUUCAAAAGUCAGUAAAAGUCAAAGAACAAUGCAUUACAUAAGGUGGAAGAAAUUAUUGCCAAAGCUGACAAUUGAUCUAUACCUGCGUGAUGCGUAAACAUUGUUUCUCUUAUCACACUUUUGCCUCAUUUUUAGCAGUUAUAAAUGGAGAAACACAGCCAAUAUCACAACAGAGUAGCUAUGCAAAAUGGGAACAAAGGAAUAAAAAUGCAACAGAGAUGUUGACAUUGUGGCUCUAAUUAUUACCAUUACAUAAAUUAUAUGUAGUAGAUGAAGAAAA
rnacentral:misc_RNA from 1 species